GGCCGCUUAGCUCAGUCAGUCAGAGCGUGGUGCUGAUGACACCAAGGUCGCGGGUUCGAUCCCCAUUCGGUCC
rnacentral:tRNA from 1 species